UUGUCUCCUCAUGUAUGGGACUAUACAAAUCAAAAUUGAAGAGUCAUCCUUGACACUCCUUUCUCCUUAACCACCGUGUCAUAUCUACUCUGGAGGAAAGUGGAGCAAGAUGGCUGAAGAGAAACCCUACUGAUCAUCCUCCCCACAGGAACACCAACUUGAACAACUAUGCACACAAAAAAGCACCUUCAUAAGAACCAAAAAUCAGGAAUGGUUUUGCCCUAAAGUUUACUUUGUCUGAUAUUAGUCCAGCUACACCAGAUUUCUUGUGAAUAUCUCAAAUAGUGGUUACUUCUACUGGCUGGUUUUUGCAAUGAAGACAAUAUAUGGUGAAGAACUAAAGCCAACUCAGAGCUACUGUGGUCAACAUAAAAUAGGCACUGUGAUCAACCAGCCAACACUAAAGAUUUCUGGGAGCCAGACUCUUCUAAUCACUGCUUUGACUCUGCUGGCAAUUAUGGAGCUGGCUAAGCAGUCUCUGUAUGGCUGUUUUCUCACACAUGAUGCUGAGGCUUCAAGAUCACAGGGAUGGCAGUCAGAAAAGGAAAAACACAAGCAGGCUGGAACCAACAAGCUUAAGCUGGAACUCCGUGGAGAAGGACUAAAACCUGUGUUCAUUCUUGUUGCCUCUAACCUUGGUAAUGAGGGUAUCCAGCAGAAGUGGGGCCCUUUGUCACAAAGUGAAACACACACCCCUGGUCUAGGAGUCUGAGAAGCUGAAAGAAUAUCAGCGGCAGGUAGAGCAGCCACAGAAUCAGAUGCUGCUUCACACCAGUAGGGUGAAUCUACAGAUCAGCAACAAUAUGUGUGAGCCACAAAAUGGCCACUGCUUCUCUUUCAGCCUCUAAAUGUCUCAAGAAUCUUCCCUAUGUCUUACCUCAACUCAAAACAAACAAGAGAAAAAAUUCUGGGAAAUGCAAUUCAGCCUAGACAAGGUGACAUAUGAGAAAGCCAUUACAAGAUAGUUUGCUCAAAGU